AUUGAUAGUAAAUGGACGGACUUGCCCUGAAAGACACUUGGUUGUAAACAGGAUAUGCGAGCUUGAGCCUUCAAGAAUCAAGAUAGAACUGUCAAUCACACCACCAUCUGCUUAAAUCCAGGAUUUUAGAGAAAUGGCAACGGAGAAAACGACGUCGUUUGAUGACCUUCCUCAAGAACUUGCCGAUAACAUCCUCUUAAGACUCCCGGUCAAAGCCCUGAUCAGGUCAACAUCAGUUAACAAAAAACGGUACUCUCUAAUCACAAACCCUAAUUUCAUUUCUGCUCAAAUCAAGAAUGCUAUCUCACAUUGCGAUGAUAAUUUAGUGUUAAUUGUCCCCUGCCUUAUCUCUGAAGAGAAACAUUGUUCCUUAAUCUCUGUUGAAACUUCGGAACUUGUCGAAAAAUUUGAGGUUCCCUUUACUACUAGGAGUGACUACUGGAUACUAGUUAAUUCAGUAGAUGGACUUAUGUUAUUGACUGGUAUUACUGUGUUUAAUCGUACUACUACACAUUUGUAUUUGUGGAACCCUUGUCUUAAAACUUACCGAAUCCUUGUUUCUUCCUGUUUCGAGAAAGUUCUUGGUGACAGGGAAAGAUUUUAUUUGGUUGGGUUGGGGUUUAAUAAAGUUAGUAAUGAUUAUAGAGUUGUUAGGAUUGUUUAUUUUUAGGACAAAAUGGAUUUGCCUAAGGUCGAGGUUUAUAGUUUGAGGGAACGGACGUGGAAGGAGAUUAAAGACCCUGUAGUUCCUAGGAGGAGUUUGCGUGACUGUGAAGGGGUUUAUUUAAAUGGGAGAAUUUACUGGAUGGAAGUGGAAAGGUCCUUCAGUGUGGAAUCUUCUCCUUAUGUUAGUAAAGAUUUACGGAUGUUGUCGUUUGACUUUGAUACUGAGGUGUUUGGGGAAGUGAAAGUUCCAGAGGAGGUUUCCAAUUGUUUAGGAGUAGGCGCCGGUUUUAAGCUGAUGGAGUUUGAUGGUUCUCUUGCUCUUUGUGUUAGUAACAUACAGGUUAGGAAUGGAUUGUUCAUCAUACCUUAUCGUAUAUGGUUGAUGAGGUUAGACAAUGGUGUUAUUUCUUGGAUUUUACGUUUUACAAAUGAACUCAAGGAACCUGGGCUAGUAAUGAAUAUUACAAAGACCGGAACAAUUUUAGUACAGAGACUUCCCUCGCUGCCUGUUCAUGCCAUUACACGCAUAUUCUCAUGCAAUCUCAAUACCAUGCAUUAUAAAGAUCUUGGACUUGGUGGGCGUUGGGGUGAAGAGGAUUUCCCGACAAUGCCGCAUUGUAUUGUAGACACUUCUUUCAUAGAGAGUUUGGUCAUGUACGAAGGAGGAAAGUCUCUGUUAAAAUUUUCAAAGUGAGCAAUCAUGAGUCUUUGGGUGGUAUAGUUGCUGAUCUUACUUUGAAAGUCCUGCUUAGGUGCUGCAUAUGUAUAUGAAGUCCUUUAAAGACGCCAGUUUUUGCUGAGGGAAUUCUGUGGAAGAUCUUUGAACUUGACAUAAUGUAAUCUAAUCAAGCAAUCGAACAAUAGUUUUCAGUAUUGAUUUGUUAUGGAUACAUCUGUUUACUAACCUAUAAAUGCACUACUUUGUAAAUUAUUAAACAGCUUGCAACUUGCAACAGUCAAUUUUAUAUUUUGUAAGCUC